GGCCCUUUAGCUCAGGCGGAAGAGCGCUUGGUCGAAGCCCAGGAGGCCGAGGUUCGAUUCCUCGAGGGGCCA
rnacentral:tRNA from 1 species